AGAUUGUGUUGAGGACACUUCCUCAAGAGCUUCUUGAAAUGCUCUCAAGCUUCAUAAAGAUUCUCAUCUGAGGAUUGCACAAAAGUCAUGAUGUCAUUCUUAAAUUU